AAAAGCUYGUAGUUGGAUCUCAGUUCGGGACGGACGGUCCGCCUAACGGUGGUCACUGUCCGAUCUCAACACCGGCCGGUUUCUCUAGAUGAUCUUCACCGGUUGUCUUGGGUGACCGGCAAGUUUACUUUGAAAAAAUUAGAGUGCUCAAAGCAGGCGUGACGCCUGAAUAAUGGUGCAUGGAAUAAUGGAAUAGGACCUCGGUUCUAUUUUGUUGGUUUUAGGAACACGAGGUAAUGAUUUAGAGGGACAGACGGGGGCAUUCGUAUUGCGACGCUAGAGGUGAAAUUCUUGGACCGUCGCAAGACGAACUACUGCGAAAGCAUUUGCCAAGAAUGUUUCCAUUAAUCAAGAACGAAAGUUAGAGGUUCGAAGGCGAUCAGAUACCGCCCUAGUUCUAACCAUAAACGAUGCCAGCUAGCGAUCCGGCUGUGUUCCUCAAAUGACACGCCGGGCAGCUUCCGGGAAACCAAAGCUUUUGGGUUCCGGGGGAAGUAUGGUUGCAAAGCUGAAACUUAAAGGAAUUGACGGAAGGGCACCACAAGACGUGGAUUUUGCGGCUCAAUUUGACUCAACACGGGUAAAUUUACCCGGCCCGGACACAGGAAGGAUUGACAGAUUAAGAGCUCUUUCUUGAUUCUGUGACAAGUGGUGCAUGGCCGUUCUUAGUUGGUGGAGUGAUUUGUCUGGCUAAUCCCGAUAACGAACGAGAUUCUAACCUACUAAAUAGACGUUCCGAUCCUUCUCAGUCGGACGUUCUUCUUAGAGGGACAGGCGGCGUUCAGCCGCAUGAGACAGAGCAAUAACAGGUCAGUGAUGCCCUUCGAUGUUCGGGGCCGCACGCGUAAUACAUUGAAGGAAUCAGCGUGUGCUUUCCCUGUCCGACAGGACUGGGUAACCCGUUGAAACUCUUUCGUGCUGGGGAUAGGAAUUUGCAAUUAUCUUCCUUGAACGAGGAACGUCUAGUAAGUACGAGUCAUUAACUCGUGUUGAUUAAGUCCCUGCCCUUUGUGCACACCGCCCGUCGCUGCUAGCGAUGAAUGGUUUAGUGAGGUCUCCGGACUGGUGCCCGUACUGGACUUCGGUUCGAGACGGUGUGCUGGAAAGAUGACCAAACUUGAUCAUUUAGAGCUCGCAAAAGUCGUAACAAGAUUUC
rnacentral:rRNA from 1 species